AAGUAAGCAGGCAGUUUUCGAAGUCAAAGAAGGUGAAAGAUAGAAAAGGGUCAUCUUCCCCAAUCAAGAAAGGGAACCCAUGCCUACAAGUUAGAGAACCCCCGAAAUUCUCCCACUGCCAUAAACCGCUGAAACGGAGAGCUAAGGCAGGGACUCUGUGAGUCAUGAGAACAGAAUCCAGUGAGGAGAUGCUGGCGCAGGACAUUUCCUGUUUUCAGAGUCCCUGCCAAGCCAGUUAUGGAUGGAUUUGCAUUUGGCUUGGGAAAUGAGUGCACCAAGCCAGUUUUGGUAGCUCUGCUUCCCCCUGGGUGGGGCAGCAAGCCCCAAUAAAAAGGUCCUCUGCUGCACGACAGCUAUCCUUCUGCUACUCGAGUUCCGAUUGAACUUGGAGAACCUGAUAUUGAGAUUCCAGAAAGAUGUCUUCUCAAGAGCAGCAGUGCAAGCAGCAGUGCAAGCCACCUCCAGUGUGCCCACAUAAGUGCCCUGAUCCUUGCUCACCUACCAAGGUGAAAGACCCUUGCCCACAGAAAAA